ensembl:lncRNA
CCAGACACCAUCAGAGCCGCAGACGUGCCAGGACUUCAGUUUCCAAAAACCAUUCUGAAGUGACUUCAGAAUACUUAGUUAAGAAUAUGUGAUGAAUAAUAUUGCCAAAAGAAACCACUAAAAGGCAAAUACAUAUAUUUAUAAACAUAGUAUUUUAUUAACAAAAUGUUUACACCCUUCUUAGAACAAAUUUUAUAGUGAUUUAGCAUGUGAUACUCUAUAAAAAGUGUAUUAUAGAAUAUUCAAGCUAAAACAGUAUCAUCGAAAAGUAUACCAACUCUGCCUUCAUUUGCAAACUAUCUAGUACUAGCGUUAAGUAUAAAAAGAAAAAUUAUACAACAAAAAGCAAAAGGUUUAGUUUUGUUUUGUUAGCAUCUACAAACAAUACAGACAUCAUAUGGUUUACAUAGACUUAGGUCCAGCCUAAGAUUAGGACUGCAAAAAUAAGGUCUUCAAACAUCCAUACAAGCUUGGCAAACCAUCAUUACAGUAUUUCAUUACAGGUAACCAGGCAGUUUAUCAUGCAGUGUGAAGCCACAGCUAUAAAUCUGGCUGUUUGUAGUGUUACAAAGCGGCCAACAUUGUAAGCAACUUAAUUUUUUUCGUAAUAGGUGCUACUCUAAAAAGGCACAAAUAUCUUACUCCUUGCAUCAGGUCUUGAAAAGGCAUGAUAUUCGUAGGAGAAAUAAGAAUUGCUGGUAUGACGGCUUAGCUUUUUUUUUUUUUUUUUUAAUGUCCAGGCUCAUCUCCACAGCUGUUUCUCUUCUGACUUGGAUUUUUACACACUUUAACAAAGGUCUAUUACAAACUCAGUGAAGUUCUAAUGCUUAAGCUGAUUAUCCUAUCACCAAUGAGAAGUAUUUUGUCACUCAGCUGUGUUCCCAUUGAAGUGAAUGCUGCCCAUUCCUUUCCUCAAGUCCUGCAGGUCUUCACCUAAGUUGGCCUUUGCAUUUCUCACUGUCUGCAUGUAGCUUGCCUCCAGCUGCACAGAGUGGGCCAACCCUGCCAUUGCAACCACAGGAGGCCACAUGCACUACUGUCACGGGUGCUGGGAAGUGGCUGGAGCAGCAUGUCUCCCAGGGAAAGCCUUCAGAAAACCAUGCAAACAAAGUAAGUGAAGACCUUUUCCUCCUGCUUUCACUGAGUAUGAAUUAUGGAGCUGAGAUACAAAUGUCAUCAUUGUUAAGUACUGGAAUGAUACAACAAGAGAAACAGUACCCGAUCAAUUUCUUGGACAGACUGAUGAAAACGAGGGCAAAGAGGUCCUAGAAACGCACGAGCACAAACCCCAUGCCACUUGUGCUGUUGGUAAGACACGUGGCUAUGGUCAAGCAGAAUCACUCCCUACAUGUGGACAGGAGCAUGAAAGUCAGAAAGAGAAACCAGCUGUAAAGGGCCCUUGGCUGGAACAUCAACUGUGACCACAGGCAUUCAGAUGAGGCUCAGAAGACUUCGAGUUUACCGGUGGUGUAGCAUCUAGUGGCCAGUCUGGUGAAGGUCACAAAUGUGUGCUUUUUGGUGAAAUAAGGCAGAAAAGGCCAUACAAGCAUGGCCUCCUCUGUAAUGAGUUAAGAAAUCGCUGUUUUUGUUUUGUUGUCAUGGAGACAGAGACCUAGCAGUGGGAAUGCUUGGGACAGACCAGGGCAGUGCCUGCAUGCCCUGGAAUCACCUGAAGAUGCAUAAAAUGUAAUCAAGCCACCCUUAGGUAUAAAGAGCCCAGCCCUGGGAAUCACACGGUUUCUCUACAAGUUUGUUAAUUUGAUGCUGGCUUGGAAACCAGAUACUAGGAAGAGAUAGAAUCUACAUGUAUUUUAUACAAAACAGCAUUAGAAUUUUCACUAAUUGCAUUCUUUCUAUAUGAUUUUAGUGAGCACAAAACAAUCUCAAAUGCUUAAGAUGUACAACCAGGAAAAGGCUUU